rnacentral:rRNA from 1 species
AGCGAACGCUGGCGGCAGGCUUAACACAUGCAAGUCGAGCGGGCACUUUCGGGUGUCAGCGGCGGACGGGUGAGUAACGCGUGGGAACGUGCCCUCUGGUUCGGAAUAACUCAGGGAAACUUGAGCUAAUACCGGAUACGCCCUUUUGGGGAAAGGCUUGCUGCCGGAGGAUCGGCCCGCGUCUGAUUAGCUAGUUGGUGAGGUAACGGCUCACCAAGGCGACGAUCAGUAGCUGGUCUGAGAGGAUGAUCAGCCACACUGGGACUGAGACACGGCCCAGACUCCUACGGGAGGCAGCAGUGGGGAAUAUUGGACAAUGGGCGCAAGCCUGAUCCAGCCAUGCCGAGUGAGUGAUGAAGGCCUUAGGGUUGUAAAGCUCUUUUAUCCGGGACGAUAAUGACGGUACCGGAGGAAUAAGCCCCGGCUAACUUCGUG